GCCGGGUGUGGUGGUGCAUGCCUGUAAUCUGACAGACAAGGGAGGCAGAGGCAGGAGGAUCACAAGUUUGUGACUGGCCUCAGCAGAUUGGUGAGGUCCUUAGCAACUCAGAAAGACUCUGUCUCAA
rnacentral:sRNA from 1 species